CGUUUAGGGGUAAACCUGAGAAACCCGAAAGGUCGAAGGGAGAAAUUCAUUCGCGUUUCGCCGCAGGCGUCGGACGGGAGCGACGAAAAUCGUUCGCGUUUUUCGCACCUUCGGUCUGUACGAACCGGUAGCGAACGUGUGCACUUUUCUCCUGGUAGGACGUCGCGAUCCGUUGAGUGUCGGUCUACGGCCCGCGGUGGAGCCCGUUUGUCGAUUUUACGAUCGUACGCGCGGACCCGUGGUGUUCUGGCCGACUCGCUCGACGGUAUACGAACGGUUUCGGGUCGCUAGCUUUUGCUGAGCGUUCGACCGAUGACAAGUGCGCCGGAUGCGUCGACGUUCGGACCUAGUGCCGAUGGCGACCUCCGGUGGCUGCUGGUCGUCGAGUUCUCGAACGGACCUCGCGUAUUACGUUCGCGUAAUACGUUCAAAAACCGAUCGGCGACGCUAUAGCUUUGGGUACUUUCAGGACCCGUCUUGAAACACGGACCAAGGAGUCUAGCAUGUGCGCGAGUCAUUGGGAUUAUAUACGAAACCUAAAGGCGCAAUGAAAGUAAAAGUCUUCCUAGCGAAGACCUAGGGAAGACGAGCGGUCCGCCCUUAAAAGCGGCCGUUCUGCAUUCCCGGGGCGUCUCGUUCUCAUCGCGAGAAGAGGCGCACCAAGAGCGUACACGCUGGGACCCGAAAGAUGGUGAACUAU
rnacentral:rRNA from 1 species